CCUACGGGCGGCUGCAGUGGGGGAUAUUGCACAAUGGGGGAAACCCUGAUGCAGCGACGCCGCGUGAGCGAAGAAGGCCUUCGGGUCGUAAAGCUCUGUUUUGAGGGAAGAAAAAAAUGACGGUACCUCAGGAGAAAGCCCCGGCUAACUACGUGCCAGCAGCCGCGGUAAUACGUAGGGGGCAAGCGUUAUCCGGAAUUACUGGGCGUAAAGGGUGCGUAGGCGGCCAAUAAAGUCAGGGGUGAAAGGCUACGGCUCAACCGUAGUAAGCCUUUGAAACUUAUUGGCUUGAGUGCAGGAGAGGAGAGUGGAAUUCCUAGUGUAGCGGUGAAAUGCGUAGAUAUUAGGAGGAACACCAGUGGCGAAGGCGACUCUCUGGACUGUAACUGACGCUGAGGCACGAAAGCGUGGGGAGCAAACAGGAUUAGAUACCCCAGUAGUC
rnacentral:rRNA from 1 species